CCCUUAGAUGUUCUGGGCUGCACGCGCGCUACACUGACGCACGCAACAGGUGCCUGCUCCGAGAGGACUGGGUAAUCAUUUGAGUGUGCGUCGUGAUGGGGAUAGAAUAUUGUAAUUAUUACUCUUCAACGAGGAAUUCCUAGUAAGCGCCAGUCAGCAGCUUGCGCUGAUUACGUCCCUGCCCUUUGUACACACCGCCCGUCGCUCCUACCGAUGGGUGAUCCGGUGAAUGAUUCGGACUUCAGCGGCUCCCCUGGGGUGCGCCGGAGAAAGUUUUGUGAACCUUAUCACUUGGAGGGAGGAGAAGUCGUAACA
rnacentral:rRNA from 1 species